AUUGAACGCUGGCGGCAUGCUUUACACAUGCAAGUCGAACGGUAACAGGCCGCAAGGUGCUGACGAGUGGCGAACGGGUGAGUAAUGCAUCGGAACGUGCCCAGUCGUGGGGGAUAACUACUCGAAAGAGUAGCUAAUACCGCAUACGAUCUAUGGAUGAAAGCGGGGGACCGUAAGGCCUCGCGCGAUUGGAGCGGCCGAUGUCAGAUUAGGUAGUUGGUGGGGUAAAGGCUCACCAAGCCAACGAUCUGUAGCUGGUCUGAGAGGACGACCAGCCACACUGGGACUGAGACACGGCCCAGACUCCUACGGGAGGCAGCAGUGGGGAAUUUUGGACAAUGGGCGCAAGCCUGACCCAGCAAUGCCGCGUGCAGGAAGAAGGCCUUCGGGUUGUAAACUGCUUUUGUACGGAACGAAACGGCUCUGGUUAAUACCCGGGGCUAAUGACGGUACCGGAAGAAUAAGCACCGGCUAACUACGUG
rnacentral:rRNA from 1 species